UCUGUAGGUGAAACCUGCGGAGGGAUCAUUACCGAGUUUACAACUCCCAAACCCAAUGUGAACGUUACCAAACUGUUGCCUCGGCGGGAUCUCUGCCCCGGGUGCGUCGCAGCCCCGGACCAAGGCGCCCGCCGGAGGACCAACCAAAACUCUUAUUGUAUACCCCCUCGCGGGUUUUUUUAUAAUCUGAGCCUUCUCGGCGCCUCUCGUAGGCGUUUCGAAAAUGAAUCAAAACUUUCAACAACGGAUCUCUUGGUUCUGGCAUCGAUGAAGAACGCAGCGAAAUGCGAUAAGUAAUGUGAAUUGCAGAAUUCAGUGAAUCAUCGAAUCUUUGAACGCACAUUGCGCCCGCCAGUAUUCUGGCGGGCAUGCCUGUCCGAGCGUCAUUUCAACCCUCGAACCCCUCCGGGGGGUCGGCGUUGGGGAUCGGCCCUGCCUUGGCGGUGGCCGUCUCCGAAAUACAGUGGCGGUCUCGCCGCAGCCUCUCCUGCGCAGUAGUUUGCACACUCGCAUCGGGAGCGCGGCGCGUCCACAGCCGUUAAACACCCAACUUCUGAAAUGUGACCUCGGAUCAGGUAGGAAACCCGCG
rnacentral:rRNA from 1 species